GCAUAUGUUAACAUAGUUUAAUAAAACACACUAGAUUGUGGAUCUAGAAAUAGAGGUUUUAUCCCUCUU
rnacentral:tRNA from 1 species